rnacentral:rRNA from 1 species
UGGGUUUGAUCAUGGCUUAGGACGAACGCUGGCGGCGUGCUUCAUACAUGCAAGUCGAACGGGUAGCAAUACCAGUGGCGGACGGGUGAGUAACGCGUGAACAAUCUACCUUAUAUUUUGGAAUAACUAUUGGAAACAAUAGCUAAUACCGAAUAAGACCACGAGGCGGCAUCGCUUUGGGGUAAAAGAUUUAUCGAUAUAAGAUGAGUUCGCGUCCUAUUAGCUAGAUGGUAGUGUAACGGACUACCAUGGCGACGAUAGGUAGCCGGCCUGAGAGGGUGAACGGCCACACCGGAACUGAGAACGGUCCGGACUCCUACGGGAGGCAGCAGUAGGGAAUAUUGGGCAAUGGAGGCAACUCUGACCCAGCAACGCCGCGUGAAGGAAGAAGGUCUUCGGAUUGUAAACUUCUGUCGCAGGGGACGAAGAAUGACGGUACCCUGUAAGAAAGCCACGGCAAACUACGUGCCAGCAGCCGCGGUAAUACGUAGGUGGCAAGCGUUGUCCGGAAUGACUGGGUGUAAAGGGAGUGUAGGCGGUGGUAUAAGUCGUAUGUGAAAGCCCAUAGCUCAACUAUGGAAGUGCAUACGAUACUGUAUUACUAGAGUAUGGGAGAGGUAAGUGGAAUUCCUAGUGUAGCGGUGGAAUGCGUAGAUAUUAGGAGGAACACCAGUGGCGAAGGCGACUUACUGGACCAAAACUGACGCUGAGGCUCGAAAGCGUGGGGAGCAAACAGGAUUAGAUACCCUGGUAGUCCACGCCCUAAACGAUGGAUACUAGACGAAGGGGGUAUAAAUUCCUCCUGUGUCGAAGCAAACGCGAUAAGUAUCCCACCUGGGGAGUACGGCCGCAAGGUUGAAACUCAAAGAAAUUGACGGGGACCCGCACAAGCAGCGGAGCAUGUGGUUUAAUUCGAAGCAACGCGAAAAACCUUACCAAGACUUGACAUUAUAUGAACUCCCUAGAGAUAGGGCUUCCCGCAAGGGCAUAUGGACAGGUGGUGCAUGGUUGUCGUCAGCUCGUGUCGUGAGAUGUUCGGUUAAGUCCGGCAACGAGCGCAACCCUUGUGAUAUGUUGGCAAUAUUAAGUUAGCAACUCAUAUCAGACUGCCGUGGAUAACACGGAGGAAGGCGGGGACGACGUCAAAUCAUCAUGCCCCUUACGUCUUGGGCUACACACGUGCUACAAUGGGCGCUACAAACUGCUGCGAAGCCGCAAGGUGGAGCCAAUCAGAUAAAAGCGUUCUCAGUUCGGAUUGUGGGCUGCAACUCGCCCACAUGAAGUCGGAGUUGCUAGUAAUCCCGGAUCAGCACGCCGGGGUGAAUGCGUUCCCGGGUCUUGUACACACCGCCCGUC